CAGCCGCCGCGGGAAUACAGAGGGUGCGAGCGUUAAUCGGAUUUACUGGGCGUAAAGCGUGCGUAGGCGGCUUCUUAAGUCGGAUGUGAAAUCCCUGAGCUUAACUUAGGAAUUGCAUUCGAUACUGGGAAGCUAGAGUAUGGGAGAGGAUGGUAGAAUUCCAGGUGUAGCGGUGAAAUGCGUAGAGAUCUGGAGGAAUACCGAUGGCAAAGGCAGCCAUCUGGCCUAAUACUAACGCUGAGGUACGAAAGCAUGGGGAGCAAACAGGAUUAGAUACCCCAGUAGUCCCUGUCUCUUAUAC
rnacentral:rRNA from 1 species